UGGGGAAUUUUGGACAAUGGGCGAAAGCCUGAUCCAGCAAUGCCGCGUGUGUGAAGAAGGCCUUCGGGUUGUAAAGCACUUUUGUCCGGAAAGAAAUCCUUGGCUCUAAUACAGUCGGGGGAUGACGGUACCGGAAGAAUAAGCACCGGCUAACUACGUGCCAGCAGCCGCGGUAAUACGUAGGGUGCAAGCGUUAAUCGGAAUUACUGGGCGUAAAGCGUGCGCAGGCGGUUUGCUAAGACCGAUGUGAAAUCCCCGGGCUCAACCUGGGAACUGCAUUGGUGACUGGCAGGCUAGAGUAUGGCAGAGGGGGGUAGAAUUCCACGUGUAGCAGUGAAAUGCGUAGAGAUGUGGAGGAAUACCGAUGGCGAAGGCAGCCCCCUGGGCCAAUACUGACGCUCAUGCACGAAAGCGUGGGGAGCAAACAGGAUUAGAUACCCUGGUAGUCCACGCCCUAAAACGAUGUCAACUAGUUGUUGGGGAUUCAUUUCCUUAGUAACGUAGCUAACGCGUGAAGUUGACCGCCUGGGGAGUACGGUCGCAAGAUUAAAAACUUAAAUGAAUUGACGGGGUCAUAGCUGUUUCCU
rnacentral:rRNA from 1 species